rnacentral:lncRNA from 1 species
UGGCAUCAGAUCAAGUCAUCCCAGGCUCCCGCUUUCCACCCUCCCACCUCAGCCUCCUGGAGUGCUGAGAUCACAGGCCUGUGCCACCACCACUCCAGCUUGCCCCUGUUCUCUAAACUUCAGAAGAUGAAAUUUGACUCAGUUUUCAGGACCAGGUUGCAGUUCUGCAAGUGAAUUGCAAGGGGCAGUAUCACACAGGUGCGGGUAAUGAACAGGAGGAGGCUAACCUGAGGGGAUCUCUUCUUUGAAGUCUGGAGACUGGAGAAGAGCAGCGCUACCCGGCUUCGGGCUCCUUGAACAUCACCCCAGAGGAGCUGCCAGCCGGCAGGGAGUUCCGGGUUUGGGUGAGGGCUGCAAAUGCACUGGGCACGGAGGAGUCUGAACGCUUGCAUGUCCACCUGGAUGACAUAGGUGAGGAGAUGGGGGGGGGGGCUGCGAAGUCUUUUCUUUUCUUUCUUGAAGUUUUUGAGCCAGAGUCUCACUAUGUAGUCCAGGCUGACCUUGAACUCACUGUGUAGCCCAAGGACACUCCUGCCUCAGCCUCCCGAAUGCUGGGAUUCACACAUCUUUAACGCAGGAAUUUGUGUUGGCCUUGCCAAAUGCAGUCUGGAUCCUCGGAGUCAUGAUGGUGAUACCGUCAGCGUCCAUCAUUUCUAAGGCUGAGACCCUAAAUGCCACCAUGCCCCAGACCAUCAUCCACUGGGAAAGCGACACGGCACUGGAGAAGCUGACCUGCCAGGUCCGGUACGCAGCCACCACCAACCGCACGUGGAGGGUUAAAGAAUUUGACACCAACUUCACAUACGCACAGCAGGCCGAAUUCUUCUUGGAGCCAGGCGUUAAUUACGUAUUUCAAGUGCGGUGCAGAGAGGCAGGGAGCAGGCACUGGCAGCCCUGGAGUGCACCCUUUUAUCACAAGACACCUGACACAGCCCCCCAGGUCACACAGAAGUCCCUGCAGCGUGGCGCUCGGGAUUCGGACUCCGGGCCCCUGGUCCCUUCCAUCUUAAAGGUUUC